rnacentral:rRNA from 1 species
UACGUAGGGUGCAAGCGUUAUCCGGAAUUAUUGGGCGUAAAGAGCUCGUAGGCGGUUUGUCGCGUCUGCUGUGAAAACCUGGGGCUCAACCCCGGGCCUGCAGCCGAUACGGGCAAGCUAGAAUUCGGUAGGGGAGACUGGAAUUCCUGGUGUAGCGGUGAAAUGCGCAGAUAUCAGGAGGAACACCGGUGGCGAAGGCGGGUCUCUGGGCCGAUAUUGACGCUGAGGAGCGAAAGCGUGGGGAGCGAACAGG